rnacentral:rRNA from 1 species
UUUUUUCCCCCCGGUUGAACUAAGCAUAUCAAUAAGCGGAGGAAAAGAAACCAACAGGGAUUGCCCCAGUAACGGCGAGUGAAGCGGCAUGAGCUCAAAUUUGAAAUCUGGCGUUUUUGACGUCCCGAGUUGUAAUUUGGAGAGGCACUUUCGGGGCCAGCACCAGACUAUGUUCCUUGGAACAGGACGCCACAGAGGGUGAGAGCCCCGUGCAUGCCUGGGUGUCUGGCCCCUUGCGAAGUGUCUUCGACGAGUCGAGUUGUUUGGGAAUGCAGCUCCAAGUGGGUGGUAAAUUUCAUCUAAAGCUAAAUACUGGCGAGAGACCGAUAGAGCACAAGUAGAGUGAUCGAAAGAUGAAAAGCACUUUGAAAAUAGAGUUAAAAAGUACGUGAAAUUGUUGAAAGGGAAGCGCUUGAGAUCAGACUCAGCCCCUGGCAAACAGCCUGCCCGAGCCAUCGGCGGUGCACUUGCCUGGGGCCGGGCCAGCAUCGGUUGGAGCGGCGGGACAAAGGCGUCGGGAACGUGGCUCCCCUUGGGAAGUGUUAUAGCCCGGCGUGCAAUGCCGCCAACUCCGACUGAGGGCCGCGCCUUGGCGAGGAUGCUGGCACAAUGGUCUUCAGCGACCCGUCUUGAAACACGGACCAAGGAGUCUAACAUCUAUGCGAGUGUUUGGGUGUUAAACCCUUGCGCGAAAUGAAAGUGAACGUAGGUGGGACAGCCCUCCUUGUGGGGGCAAUGCACCAUCGACCGAUCCUGAUGUCCUCGGAUGGAUUUGAGUAGGAGCAUAGCUGUUGGGACCCGAAAGAUGGUGAACUAUGCCUGAAUAGGGUGAAGCCAGAGGAAACUCUGGUGGAGGCUCGCAGCGGUUCUGACGUGCAAAUCGAUCGUCAAAUUUGGGUAUAGGGGCGAAAGACUAAUCGAACCAUCUAGUAGCUGGUUCCUGCCGAAUUCCCCCCCUAGGGAUAAAAA